rnacentral:rRNA from 1 species
GACGAACGCUGGCGGCGUGCUUAACACAUGCAAGUCGAACGAUGACGACCGAGCUUGCUCGGUCUGAUUAGUGGCGAACGGGUGAGUAACACGUGAGCAACCUGCCCUUCACUCUGGGAUAACCUCGGGAAAUCGGGGCUAAUACCGGAUAUGAGCUCCUGUCGCAAGGCGGGUGUUGGAAAGUUUUUCGGUGAAGGAUGGGCUCGCGGCCUAUCAGUUUGUUGGUGAGGUAGUGGCUCACCAAGGCGAUGACGGGUAGCCGGCCUGAGAGGGCGACCGGCCACGCUGGGACUGAGACACGGCCCAGACUCCUACGGGAGGCAGCAGUGGGGAAUAUUGCACAAUGGGCGAAAGCCUGAUGCAGCGACGCCGCGUGAGGGAUGACGGCCUUCGGGUUGUAAACCUCUUUCAGCAGGGAAGAAGCGAAAGUGACGGUACCUGCAGAAGAAGCGCCGGCUAACUACGUG